CUUGUUGGUGAGGUAAUGGCUCACCAAGGCAACGACGGGUAGCGGGACUGAGAGGUUGGCCCGCCACAUCGGGACUGAGACACUGCCCGGACCUCCACGGAGGGCUGCAGUAACGAAUAUUGUGCAAUGGGCGAAAGCCUGACACAGCAAUGCCGCGUGUAGGAUGAAGCUUUUCGGAGUGUAAACUACUGUCAGGGGUUAGAAAGUCUUCGGAUUGAUCAGCCCCAGAGGAAGUCACGGCUAACUUCGUGCCAGCAGCCGCGGUAAUACGAAGGUGGCGAGCGUUAUUCGGAAUCAUUGGGCUUAAAGCGCGCGUAGGCGGAAUAGAAAGUGUUUUGUGAAAUCCCUCGGCUUAACCGAGGAAUUGCUUGGCAAACUACUAUUCUUGAGGCAAAUAGGGGUGUGUGGAACUCUUGGUGGAGCGGUGGAAUGCGUAGAUAUCAAGAGGAACGCCGAAGGUGAAGACAGCACACUGGUUUUGUCCUGACGCUGAGGUGCGAAAGCGUGGGGAGCGAACGGGAUUAGAUACCCCGGUAGUCCACGCCGUAAACGAUGUCUACUAGGUUGUGGAAGUUCUGACACUUUCACAGUCGAAGCAAAAGUGUUAAGUAGACCGCCUGGGGAGUACGGUCGCAAGGCUAAAACUCAAAGGAAUUGACGGGGGCUCACACAAGCGGUGGAGCAUGUGGAUUAAUUCGAAAUCAACGCGCAGAACCUUACCUGGGUUUGACAUGUUUGGAUGCCGCCCUGGAAACAGGGUUGGUUGCCCUUCGGGGUGAAACUUGCACAGGUGCUGCAUGGCUGUCGUCAGCUCGUGUCGUGAGAUGUCGGGUUAAGUCCUUUAACGAGCGAAACCCUUACCGUUAGUUGCCAUCGCGUUAUGGCGGGGACUCUAGCGGGACUGCCGGUGUUAAACCGGAGGAAGGCGGGGAUGACGUCAAGUCCUCAUGGCCUUUAUGCCCAGGGCUUCACACGUGCUACAAUGGUCACUACAGAGCGACGCGAGACCGCGAGGUGGAGCAAAUCGCAAAAAAGUGGCCCCAGUUCGGAUUGCAGGCUGGCAACUCGCCUGCAUGAAGUUGGAAUCGCUAGUAAUCGGGUAUCAGCGAUGACCCGGUGAAUGUGUUCCUGAGCCUUGUACACACCGCCCGUCAAGUGAUGGAAGUCGGGAGUACCCGAAGUCGGAUUGCUAACCAUUUAUGGAGGCGUCUGCCGACGGUAAGCUCGGUAACUGGCACUAAGUCGUAACAAGGUA
rnacentral:rRNA from 1 species